AAUAAUUAUUUAAACAAAAUAAUUUAUAAAAAAAAGUUAAGAUUUAAGAUUUUAAAAAAAUAGAUAAGAUUAAAGAAUUUCAAAUAUUUUAAAAGAUAUAAAAUAUUUGAAAUUUCACUCCACUCCUUUGUUACACUCCGCACUCUACUCUAUCUCCUCCCUCUACUCUAUCUCCUCCCUCUACACUACUUUUACACAAUCUUCACACGUCUUUGCCCUUCAUUUUCUCUCUUGUUGUUCUUGGUUUGCUCUUUUACUUGAAGAGUCUGUGACUUGCAAUUAUGGCCACAGUGUC
rnacentral:lncRNA from 1 species